AUUGAACGCUGGCGGAAUGCUUUACACAUGCAAGUCGAACGAUGAACCUUAGCUUGCUAGGGGGGGAUUAGUGGCGAACGGGUGAGUAAUAUAUCGGAACGUACCUUGUAAUGGGGGAUAACUAGUCGAAAGAUUAGCUAAUACCGCAUACGCCCUGAGGGGGAAAGUAGGGGAUCUUCGGACCUUACGUUAUAAGAGCGGCCGAUAUCUGAUUAGCUAGUUGGUGGGGUAAUGGCCUACCAAGGCGACGAUCAGUAGCUGGUCUGAGAGGACGACCAGCCACACUGGAACUGAGACACGGUCCAGACUCCUACGGGAGGCAGCAGUGGGGGAAUUUUGGACAAUGGGCGCAAGCCUGAUCCAGCCAUUCCGCGUGAGUGAAGAAGG
rnacentral:rRNA from 1 species